AGUUGUUUGAAAUCAAAAGGUCUAGUGUCCACGCGUUGUGUUUUGCUCACAUUUGGCUGCCUGGCCUGGAAUCCCCCACUGAUGCAGUGUGCGCAGCCAGCCCUUAGCCAGAGCAGUGUUUUAUUGGCCCUGGAGCGUGUCCCCUUGUUGUUGUAACACUUGCUCUUUGCGAGCGUGUGCUAGCCCUGAUGUUUAAUCUUUGUGAAGCAGUAGCUUGUGAGCAUCAGACGUAUUUCUCUCAUAAUGACUGAAGUUAGGCAAGAAGUCAAAACUUAAUAUGCCUGUGAGCUCUUGCCAGUGUUUUCUGGAUUCAUGCCUUGAGAGAGGAACACGAAGGAAGGCUCGAGUGGCUCCAAUCCAAAUAAAGCAUUAUUCAGAGCUGCACUCCAGGAAUCGUUGUUUUCCACCACUCAGAGCUAUCAAUGGAGCUGGUUGUUCUCACAGUUAUUUCUAGCUGGGGUGAAGCUUCUGAAACAGUAAGCACUCCUGGGUUUAUGUGGUGGUCUGUUAUGACUAAUUGUCCAGAUUAUCAUCUACAGCAGGCAGUUUGUAAAUCAUCCAUCCAGGGAGCAAUUGAUAGCCAAGGCCUAAUGGAAUGGCGAUUCCACAUCUCCCUCUGAGCCCAAACGGAGACUUGGAAAUUACAGAGCUUCCUUCUCUUAAACUGCUGUUGCUCUGUGAUGCAGUACAUGGAGUGGUGAGCUUCUGAGGAGCAGGAGACAGGAGUGAACAGAGGAAUGUUCCUAGGAACGAAUGAAAGUCUAUGAAUGACUGAAAAAAAAAUAUAAGAGGUGGAAGGGAGGACACUUGGAGCCUCUGGCUUGGAGAAAAGAAAGGGUAAUGUAUGCAUGCAUCUGACAAAUUAUUCCAUUAACAAGAACAGAGUUAAUUCUGCCAGAGAAAAAGACAUUGGAAGUAAGAGCGCUGCCUGACUUCUUGUUGAAUAAAUCAACUGAAGAAACUCAGAUGAGAAACAGAGCUGGACACCAGAAUUGGGAAGGAAACUCCACAGAGGGAAGUUUGUGCUCCAGCUCAGCAGCAUGCAUUUCAGUUUUUGUCUUGAGAUAAAAUGUUUGCCUACUCUUCCUAAGGACACUGAUUUGUCUAACAAGAUGUUAUCACUCUCCAAACUUUGCCUGUAAUCUUAGCUCAUCAUGCUGUAGCAACCCUACAUCGUCACUGUAUUUGUUAUCUUUGUCAGCUGUGAUAGGCAGAUUUACAGUAGUUUACUUAGACACAUAUUUU